rnacentral:sRNA from 1 species
ACACCGUGAAUGCGGGAUGGAGAAGCAGUAUCCCCCGCGGCGGGCUCCUUUAGGGGCUGUGAUGUUUUAUAGCCUGGCAAGGGAAUGCCAAGACUCCCUGAGGAUCUGGCUCAGUUUAUCAGGGUCCUGCUGCUUGAGAGCAGGAGCCUGGAAGGUGAGGUGUGUAGACGCCCCAGCCGGGGCCUCUGGAGGCUGCAGUCGGGCUGAGGCAUUCAUUCCUCCGCAGGAGCCCCAGGGCUGGAGCAGCCGGAGCGUGGCCAUGGCGGCCGCAUGCUUUCUCCUGCCGCCUGGCUCUCUCUGUUCCCCUUCUGACCCCGGAGCCUCUGCCUCUCCUGCGUUCCCCUUCCUCACUCCCCUCCUUCACCUUCAGAGCCAGCGGACUUCUCCAGGCUGCACGCAGGCAAGGGGCUGGCAAUUGGAGGUCAAGCAGGCUCAGCUCGGAGCAGCGGGAGGAAAGAUUUACGGUUCCUCCCUGCCCUGCUUGGUGGACAAUUAAAGCCGCGCACGGUUGGAGGAGAGCAGUGUCGUGACGAGUCAGGAUGGUCAGAAGAAAUCAGUCACCUCCACUUAGACGGCUGAGCUAGACUGCUUCCCCGGGCCUUCCAGGGGGGAGUCCCCUGGGGUGUGGAUUUGAAGGUUCCGGAAUGGACUGUUCAAGGGUUUGACAUACUCUUGAGCUCCAUCAGAGUCAGAGCCUGAAGACCCUGGGGGUCUCCUCACAAAUGGGGCAUGUGCUGUAGGGAAUUAAGGGAAAAUUCUGGAUAAUGUGUUUAGAGGGCGUUUUGUCUCCGUGGUAUCCGGCAUCUGCAAGAACCUCAAACCUGAAUGUUUGGAAGUCAGGAUAGUGGACCCCCCCCCGCAAGUAGAGCGUGUGCACGCAUGUGCUUAUGUAUGCUUGUGCACAUGUAUGUGUGCACAGGUAUGUGCAUAUUAGUGCACACAUGUGCACAUGUGUAGAUUGUACAUGCAUGUGCCUGUGUGUAGAGUGUGCACAAGGCAUGCAUGUGCAUCCUGUAUGUGUGCAUGUGUGUGCAUGUAUGUGCACGUGCACAAGUGUGUGUCUGCAUUUGUAUGUGUACCCACAUGUACCUGUGUGAAUGCAUGAGCAUAUGUGUGUCGUACAUGUGUGUGUCAUGUAUGGGUACUGGUGCUUGCCUCUUGGACAUCACAGGCCCCACUUGUGUCUUUAAACACACACGCCCCUCUGCAAGGCUGCCGGGAGCUGGGCUUCUGAGCAUCCGCCAAGCCCUGCGGCCGUCCUUCUUCAUUUGUUCUGUGUGUUAUUUCAGUACCUUGAAGACUCUGGCAAUUUCCUCAAGGAAACUUUGUCUUUGUGGAAAUGAGAUGCCAGCACUCCUCGGCCCUCCCACUGGCUAAUUGAUGAUAUGAUCCCGCGUGGGAGACUUGCCAUUCCUGGAAACGCUCUUUAUUUCGUGGGCCCCCCCGCCCCCUGCCCGCCAUCGUCUGAUUUCUACGAGCUGCUGCAUGUGAGGUACAGGGCCAGGCAUUUGCUGUGACUCAGCCCAUGUGCCAGGCCUUUCAUUAACUUGGAUACUACAAUUAUGUGUGCCAAGAGACUGCGAGGGCCAUUUAGGAUUUUUCUCCCUUUAAGAAAAUAUUCCUUUUUCCCCAGCCAGGUAGCCCAGCCCUUUGCCUCUGCAGCUGUGGCCCAAGCACUCCUCAGCUCUCCCGGCACCAACCUGCAACAAACUCUUGUUGGGGGGCUGCGGCUCCGCCAUGGUUCUGUCGGAGGUGCUCAGCGGGUGGUCAAGGCAGCCUGCCUUUGGGAGCCGCAGGACAUGGCCUGCUGCGGCGGCUUCAUGGUCACAGCACGAAUAGCAGCAUGCGUGCUUUUGUGCCUGUGUGAGCACAUGCACACCCCAUCGGCACACGCGAGGAUGACCUUUGGCACAGAACACCUGCUGCUGUGGCCUGCAUAGAGAAGGGCUGACUCCAGGACAGCGGCUCCCAUUCGCCUCCGCCAAGGCCAGCUGGACCCUUCAAGGGACCCUGAGAAUUUCCGAGUGUGGGCAGUGGGGUUGUGUCGUGCGGGGGUGGAGUUGCACGGGUCUCCUGUGCACCUACACAUGCAUGCUGGCCAGCAUAUUAGUAUGUUCGCAGGGGUAGACCCUCUUCCCCCACUUAGGAGAUGCGUGCGUGGAAACUUGCCCCCGUGGGUGUCUUGGGAUGAAUAUUUGGGAUCCUGGGGGAUCUGGAUUGCAGAGUAGCUGGGCACUGUAAGAGUUCCUGUAAAUGCUGGGUCUCCUGGGGAGGGGGAGGCAUGGAGCACUUCUCACUUCUGUGGGUGGGUGGAAGGUUGGGGAGGGGCCACACUGGCUCAAGAUCACCCCACAGGGAGCAACCUGAUCUGAGGACAGACCUGCCUGGGACUCUGUGGAACUGAGAGGAGACACCUGCUUCCCCCUUCAAAGGUCAGGAGAUUCUGGGGACACGGGCUGCCUUCCAUACGUUACCCACAAAGCUCAUUAAAAGCACCAUUCAGAGGCCUUGUUAUCUCAAAAAGGAAGGCAAGAGUCUAACCCCCUAAGCACCAAAUAACAACUCAACAACUCAAAAACUUAUUUUUUUAAACUUCCUGGAGUUGCCAUGGUUACUUGCACGGUCCCUGCGUCUCUGUUGCUCUACGUGCAGCUGCUUGGAGGAGGAAUGAAAGCCUCCGAGCUUCACCCCUUG